ACCACAGAAACAAGGGAGUUUUUGAUGGGGCAGCCCCUUCUUUGCAAGCAGCACAUCAGUUCUUUAAAGAAGAGUUGAGGCUUUGGGGCCUUGCCGGUGCUAAAAAAAAUUCAGGAUUUAUUUCAGGGUCAAGGGGAGGGUCAAGUGAGAGUUUCUUGGUUUAGGUCUGUGGGGUGUUGCAGCAGCCUUAUUUCCUCCUUCGUGAGGAAAGGAGACUGCUUUGUACGGGGAUCUUUCCCCUUCUUUCUCUCUUAAUAUAAAGAUACACAGCUCUCCUGCGUGUUCAAUAAAAAAAAAGAUAAGCAUACACAUGUCCAUGGUCAAAGAACUAGCAAUUAAAAGAGGGUAGCACCUUCCUUUGUGGUGUGCGGCCCAUUGGAGCAAAUAGGAUGAGGAUGCAAACAGUAAAGAAAAUCACUUAACAAGGCCAAACGUCAAGGUACCAUGCGGAAAUAGGCAAAGCUUCAUAACUCGAAUGGGAUUAGGGUACUAGAAGAGGGAUAGACAGAAUAAAGAAAGUUUUAGAGAGCAUGACCCAUUCUUGAUGUAAAGGAAGAUAACCACCAAGGAAAAAGAACUCAAGGAAAAGUAUAAUUCUACAAUUAAAUUGUAAAUGUUAUGAUGGUCGAUACUGUGUGAACAUGAAAUGGACCUACACUGUUACUGUGCGUUUCAACAGUAUUGCUGCAGUGGCUGCACCAUAAACUUUCAAAUUUAUAAGAUAUAGUUUGAUCAC
rnacentral:lncRNA from 1 species